rnacentral:rRNA from 1 species
UACAGAGGGUGCAAACGUUGUUCGGAAUUACUGGGCGUAAAGCGCGUGUAGGCGGCUAUGCAAGUCGGAUGUGAAAGCCCUCGGCUCAACCGGGGAAGUGCACCCGAAACUGCAAAGCUAGAGUCUCGGAGAGGAUCGUGGAAUUCUCGGUGUAGAGGUGAAAUUCGUAGAUAUCGAGAGGAACACCGGUGGCGAAGGCGGGUCUCUAGGCAGUAACUGACGCUGAGGAGCGAAAGCGUGGGGAGCGAACAGG